rnacentral:rRNA from 1 species
CCUACGGGUGGCAGCAGUGAGGAAUAUUGGUCAAUGGGCUUACGCCUGAACCAGCCAAGUCGCGUGAGGGAAGACUGCCCUAUGGGUUGUAAACCUCUUUUGUCAGGGAGCAACGCCGGCUACGUGUAGCCGGACAGAGAGUACCUGAAGAAAAAGCAUCGGCUAACCCCGUGCCCGCAGCCGCGGUAAUACGGGGGAUGCGAGUGUUAUCCGGAUUUAUUGGGUUUAAAGGGUGCGCAGGCGGAUUUUUAAGUCAGCGGUAAAAGCGUGGGGCUCAACCCCAUCCAGACGUUGAAACUGGGGAUCUAGAGUGUGCGAGAGGUAUGCGGAAUGCGUGGUGUAGCGGUGAAAUGCAUAGAUAUCACGCAGAACCCCGAUUGCGAAGGCAGCAUACCGGUGAACAACUGACGCUCAGGCACGAAAGCGUGGGUAUCGAACAGGAUUAGAUACCCGGGUAGUC